ACCCGCAAACACUGCAUCUGGAAGGCAAGAGGAAGGUCUCAGGAAGACACUCAGUGAAGGCGAGAAGGUGUCUCCUUCAAGUGUAAAUCAAUUAUUUCACAGAGUCAAACCUGUGGUUAAUAAAGCCCACAUUUUUUAAUCAACCUUGAUGCUACCAUCAGACCAAGAAAAGACAGUGGUAAAAGAAAUGACUGCUGCCUCAAGAUCUGAGGGCUCCACCUUGGAACUGCCCUCAAAACCAGACUGGACCACUAGGAGAUGGGAGCAGUAACCAAUCACAUCUCUGAGGCCUCAAGCAAGGCACUGUAUAUAAACUGUUGAACAAAAAUGAUCGCUCCCUUCAGGAGAUACGGGUCACACAUCAACAUUUAAGUACAAAGGGUGACAAAUGGUAAGAGAGUAAGACAAAGGGUGUGAUGGUGGAAAAUACCAAGCAUGCUAUAGGCCUCUCUAACUCUCAGGUUAUAAACAAACCCUCUUGGUUAAUUUUGGGUUUUUUUUUCCUAUACAUAAUUCUCUGGUUCAUCUGAAAUUUAUUUUCUGUAAAAAGUGAGGUAUGAAUCCAGUUUUAUAUUUCCCUGCUCAUUUCCAAAAAGGCAGUCCACUGGUCCUAAAACCACUCACGUAAUAAUUUACUUUCCCUGCUGAAAUGAAGUACAAAACUGUGUCCUUUGAGUGUAGAUUAUGUGCAGGGCUACUGUCAGACUGUACUGGAUAACAUCUGAAGGAUGAAUAAGUGAUGUGCUGUGUUCUGCACAGACAGGAAAUAAGAAGAAAUGCCAGGAAGGGAAAUGACCACAAUAAAAACAUCAAUUAUCAAAUAUUAGGUACACAACAUGUAAGUAUACAAUUCAUACACUGUAAAUAUCUAUUUAAUAAAUGAACAGAGGAGGUAAUAAAAUUCUUAAUAGCAUAUUUACCUUACAUGUGUCUGUUGUUUAGCUAAGACACCCCACAUAUCACUAAUAAUCUGUAAAUAGAUUUUGAAACACUUUAGAAAAGCUGUGUUGGGAAAAAUGAUAUUUUAAAUGAAGUAUCUUCUAAACUGUAAAAUAACUUUUAAUGAAAAUGUAAGUAUAGAGAUAACUCAGAAAAUAAUAAUCACAACAACAUAAUCUUAUAUUUGUAUAGUAUCUGAUCAAAGCUAAUAUUCAACAACCCUGUUGGGUAGAUUAUAUCAUCCUCGUUUUGUAAAUAAGCAACAGGUUCAUAUGGAUUAAAUGAUUGCCCUGUAGGUAGACAACUACUAAGAAGCACUGCAGUCUUGAAACCAGAUCUUCUGGGCUUCAAAUUCACAUUCAGUGCUGCUUCCACCAUGCCAACGUUGUUGGCAACACCUCUUCUUAACAGUGCACUCAGAAAACUGGAGAGCUGGCUCAGAGGUUGAUAAUCACAGCUGGAAGCAUUCAAAACACAGUCACUGUGCUUUCAUAUUCAGCAAUAAUGAGGAGGUCAUCUAAUCUAAAAUCCUAUCUCCAGUACAAAUAUUCUCUACAACACUGAUGACAGGCUGUAAUCCAGCCCUUAGAAUCCACCAGCUGCUGCUUGAAUCUAUAACACUUUCCUUAUCAGUCGAGAUCAGUUCUGGUCAAAAGUCCUACUGCCUGGAAUUGGCCAUGAUUCUAAGGAGCCAGAUUGUGUGUAACCUUAUUUUCAAGGCACAGGCUUUUACCAUAUUUCAAAGUAAUUAUCCGCUUUCCAUCUACAUCUUUUCUUCUUUAAACGAAACAGCCUAGCUAAUAGUUUUCAUCAUCUCUCACCACUCAGGUUGCUGUCUUUUGCAUAUGUUCUGGAUGGCCAAUGCUUAGUAUUUUUUGAGUACCCACUAGGUGCAAAUCCACAUAAACUAUAUAAAAGUGCAAAGCACACACAAAGCCUAGCACACAGCAGGAACUGACUCUUAACUGAUUAGAGAUUAAAAGUGCUGUCGGAGUACACAGCUGAAUACCAGACAUAGCUCAACGAUAGGGGAAGGUGCAGAGCCCGAGUCUCACUCUUCCCUUGCUUUUAAGUGGACAUGAUGUGAGGCUCCUAACAACAUCUUUGAUCUUUCAGUUCUGUAUGUUAAAAUGGAGAUAACAUUUGUCUACCCCAUAGGGCUGUUGAAUAACCAAUUUAAAUACUCAUGUGAAAAUGUUCUAUACAAAGCAGAGUACAAAUAUAUAAUAUGAACAAUUGUUAUAAUACAGAAUAUUCUACAAAUAAAUGACAUUGUGUUAACACAGAAAUCACUGGCCACAUAUCAGGAAACUUUUAAGGUCUGCCGUCUCUUUUUCCAUCACAGAUUAACUUCUGUUCAUUCUCUUAAGACACAUUUGGUUACAGAGUGCACAAUUCUUAAAGAAAAAAAGAGAGGGAAUAUCACACUUGCUUUGACCUUAUUUAUAUCUGGGCUUUGAAUUUUAUCAUCAAAGCCAACUUGGGGACCUAAACGUUUUAUCUAGUUUAUCAACACAUUGCAAAUACUCUGCUUUUUCUUUCUGAUUAAUAAUAAACACAAUCCAGGAGUUAUUGCACACUGCACAAAUCACUUAGGUAUAUUUUAAAUAUUUUAGGGAAAUAUUACAUUAAAGGUAAAAGCCAGUAAUAAUUUACACAGGCAAGUUGUAUCUGGGUCAAUAUGGUCUCUGAUCAUGCCUUCCAAAAUACAUGACUAUCGGAACUUGAGCCAUCCUUUUCUGAUGUCUGUUUUAUGCUAGCAGAUAGAAUAUUUUGAAGCUAUAUAAAUGUCUAUCAAAAGCUAUCAUUAAGAAAACAUAGAAUAUGUUACAGUAAGCCCAUACAAAACGUUGUAUCAGAUAAAUGUGGCCAAGUAUAUGCGACUACUAUGUAAAAACAAGAAAAUAUUCUAUUAUAAGAAAGAGCUCUUAAGUGAUAGACAUACCUUUCUAACAAUAGCAACAAACACUACAAGAACAACUGGAAGCAAUAAUGUCUUUGUGUAUCUCAGUGGAGUCUGAAAUUCAAAGAGAUGUUUUGUUAGAAGGAAACAUUUUAACCAAACAAAAUUUCAUUUCAAAUAAUGAAAUAGGUAAAUUUCUGAAAGUAGAGAAAUAUGAACAUUCACCAAUCUACUCACUGACUGCCAUCAUAAAAAGGAAGGUGCAUUUCCAUAGAAAUGAACUUCCCCAAAAUGCUGAGUUGAAACACUAAAAAUACAGUACCCAAACACCUGUAAGUAUGAAAUGUCACUGAAGAGAUUACUGCUCACUUUUUGCAUGCUACUUAUCUAACUAGAGAGACCAACUUAAUAUUCAUCUAAGGUAUGUAAAGCUCCUUAAAUGGAAUAAGCUUUUCCUGUAUAUUUUGUGAGGGAUAAAAAUAUUAUCCUUGAAACACACACACACACACUUUCUCACGCAUAAACAAAAUAAUGAUCUAUGUUUGAGGGGAACAAAAGACUUUUACAUUUUCUUUAGUAGC